rfam:Pseudogymnoascus pannorum VKM F-4519 (FW-2642) contig_1059, whole genome shotgun sequence.
GGCCUUCUAGUGUAACGUUAGCACUCCUAAUUCUAAAUCAGGAGGUUGUAGGUUCAACUCCUACUAGGGCCC